rnacentral:rRNA from 1 species
UACGUAGGGGGCAAGCGUUAUCCGGAUUUACUGGGUGUAAAGGGAGCGUAGACGGCAGCGCAGGUCUGGAGUGAAAUGCCGGGGCUCAACCCCGGAAUUGCUUUGGAAACUGUGCAGCUAGAGUGCGGGAGAGGUAAGCGGAAUUCCUAGUGUAGCGGUGAAAUGCGUAGAUAUUAGGAGGAACACCAGUGGCGAAGGCGGCUUACUGGACCGUAACUGACGUUGAGGCUCGAAAGCGUGGGGAGCAAACAGG